rnacentral:rRNA from 1 species
UACGUAGGUGGCAAGCGUUGUCCGGAAUCAUUGGGCGUAAAGAGCGUGUAGGCGGUCCGGUAAGUCCGCUGUGAAAGUCGGGGGCUCAACCCUCGAAUGCCGGUGGAUACUGUCGGGCUAGAGUGCGGAAGAGGCGAGUGGAAUUCCUGGUGUAGCGGUGAAAUGACGUAGAUAUCUGGAGGAACACCGGUGGCGAAGGCGGCAUCCUGGACCAACACUGACGCUGAGUGAGCGAAAGCCAGGGGAGCAAACGGG